rnacentral:tRNA from 1 species
GGCCUUGAAGUGUGAACAUGUCGAAUUGCAAAUUCGAAGAAGCA